AUGGAGUAACAUUACAUAUUGAACGCCGCUCGUAUUUCGAAAAAAGAUGUUAGUAAAACAGUUUCUAGACGAUAACUUAGAAACGUUUGGCCCUGUGAUCACAAAACUUUAUAGAGAUAUUGAUCAUUACCAGCAGGUGAUUUUUGUUGAUGAUGAGUUCAGUAGAUCAAAGGUCAAGGUUACAUUGACAAAGAAUAUUCUUCAGUUUCCAGAUAAUAACUCAAGAAUGUUUGGGCCUAGGAUCUUGAAAGUUGAUUAGCAUUGGUCAUGACCAGCAAAUGACCUCUAUCGAAUAUGAGAUUAGUAGGUCAAAGGUAAAGGUAAGUAAUCCAGAACAUAUUUUUUUUUCCAGACGAUAACUUAAGAAAGCUUAAGCUUAGAAUCACAAUAAGACAGUUAAUUCUUACCGGAAAAUGACUCCUGCUGAUUUUGCGAUUAGUUGGUCAAAGGUUAGGGUCACAGUGACCCGGAACAGUUGAGCCAUUUCAAGAUGAUGACUUUGAAACGCUUUGGCCUAUGAUCACAAAACUUACAGAAAAGUUGAUCAUGACCAGCAAGUGACACUAUUGAUGUUGAGGUCAGUAGGUAAAGGUCAAAGUCACAUUAAUCCAUGACAGUUAAACGGAUUCCCGGCGGUAACUCAAGAACACUUUGGCCUAGAAUCACGAACCUUGAUAGGGUGGUCAAUCAUGACCAGCAGAAAACACCUGUUAAUUUGAGAUCAGUUCGUCAAACGUCCAUUGCACAGUGACCAAGUAAUUUCUGUUCCUUGUGCAAACACUGAAUGCAUCAGGGGAUGGUGCCUUUUGGUGUUGUACGAUACGAGCACUUGUUCCAUAGUAAAGUAUGUCUUUCUGUCCGUCUCUUUACUUGUCAAUGUCCUAACACAUUUAUCACAAUCUUGCCUUUCGAACCGUUAUUUGAGAUUUGUUUAAAUUUUCUAAAAUAUUAUUCCAAUUGACAGUACAGAAAUAUAUACAGGAUUUUCCUCACGGUCAAGAACAGGUUCAAAUCUUCAGAUCAAGGCCACAUGUGAAUAAAGGCCAAUAAAUCAUAUAAACAUAAACAUUAGUAAUAAGCUUGUCGUGUUAAAAAGCAUUAAGAUAUUCCCUUAAUGUAAGCUUAUCAUUUUCAGGACAUGAUUUUAAUAAGAUUUAUCCUUUAGAUGAAACAAAAUUCAAGUACAUCAGGAUUAAAGGCAAAACUAAGUUUGUAGUAUCUGCAAACGCACUGUCUAAAUUAUCUUGUAAUAAAACAAGAUAUCAAAACCUUUCUCUAUCAAUCUGCAUGCGUACAAGGUUAUUGCGUAAUUUUGUUUGAAAUAUGAUUUUAUUGUUGCCUAGAUUCGUCGUUGGCCCAUUUUGUUGUUUCCACGUCAAAGGUUACGUCCCCAACUUUAGAAAAAAGGUUACAUUAGAUACUUUUGUAUAACAUAAUUUCUAUAUCAACUAUUUUAAUAUUCUAUAAAGUUUGUAGAUGAACAAAGCUUUACUAUUUCGUUUUGUCAAAAGAAUGAAGACCAAUGUCAUCUGAGAAAAAUUACAUUUUGACAUUCUUAUUCCUUUUCACAAGUAUUUAAAUAAUUAUUUUAUAUAAAGAAUACGGUAUCCUUUGUUCAGUGCUCAUGGUAUAACUUUAUUUUGAUUUAUUGUUGUUUUAUCUGAGAAAUUCUACAUGGGGUACUACAAAAUGUAUCAACAAAAUAGCUAGAAGCGAGGUAAUUUUUUAACCGGUUUGGCAGAGGACUACUUCAUUACUACGGGCUCAUUUCCAUGGAAUGAUAUAGCGGAAAAGUUGCAAGAUGUCCGGAAGACGGCCGCUCGCGUCAUCACUAAGAGGCCCCGUCGUAAUCAUAUAACACCGGUCCUGAAGGAGCUCCAUUGGUUGUCAGUGAAAUAUAGGAAAAUCCAAACAUACUGUGAUUGAUAGUACACAAACUUGUCUUGCUGUGCACCAGACGAGAAAAGCUGGCAGUCCUCAAGGUCAUAAAAAUACAGACUAAAAUCAACAUUCACAGGUGAAGAAAUACAAACGUAUUAAAUAUAACGUUGGCGUAACAGAAUGUAUUGAGAAAUAUACAGCCAAAGAAAAUUGCAUUGUCGUUGCAAAAUCCAGAGGUGUUCCAACAUCAUGCCUGGCAUGAAAAUAGGCGAGAUGUAACAUCGAAGCUCUGCUGGCACGCGAUGAAACUAUUUGGCCCUCUUCCACAUGCAGGGAAGUAGAUUAAUUACCAGCGGUCAACGACUGAUCUGGAGGAUGACAAAUCUACGAACACCAUCUGCAGGUACAUCAAUAGUGCUUACGAGUACAAGUGAACCUACAAGUAGUAGUCCUGAAGAGCAAAAGUGAACCUACAACUUCCUCCGCAGCUACAUAACUAGUUAAUAAAACAACCGAAGAACCAACAACUCCCUCUAUUGAUAAUCUUGAGUCUUCAACUUACACUCAAGUUAAGGACACUGAUUUGUCGACAGGCAUUGGGAGUAUUUUUGCAACUCUACCAAUAUUUAAAAGUAGUACUGCUAAAUUACAAAGUUAGAAGCAGCAAUUAGGUUUUAAUGGAAAAUAGUCAUAUCAUCUUCUAUCAGUUCGGUAUGAACAUGUAUAAUGGUACGUUUAUUGCAUAAGAAAUAUUAUUGAUUUAAUGUUAUAAAACAUUAUUGCUAAAGAGGGCAGAAUUGACUAUCAGCUGUGGGAAAGGCAUCUUUAACCUUUAGCAUGCUGUAGAUGACAUUCUUAACCUUUGUGAUCAGUACCGGUAAACAGCUUAGAUGAGAUAAGUCUGCCCAGGAAAUGAGUAUAAACUGACCAUUAUGAGAUGACUGAAAAACAGGUUGAAUUUAGUCUAAAAAAUAACAAAUCAUUAAUAGACUGUCAUUUAUUUUUUGAAAAGUUUCUAAUAUUUGUGUGUGUUUGUUUUUUUUUUUUUUUUUUUUUGCUUUCAUUGCACUUGAAGAAUCACACAACCAUUUUACAUCUAAACCUGAGCUAUCGUGCCAGAUUUGAUGCUGUUACUUUAAGACUAUAGGACCAAAUGAGCCAAUUUCUUGGAAUGUGAACCCGGCUUUAGAUUAACUAGUUGAUAAGUCCUUAGUAAAACAAAAUAUUUUUUUUUAGAGUUUCUGUCUUUCUGUUGAGUAGUAAUUAGAAGUUAUAUAUGCUGACAUCCGUAGCCACUGGACAUUAUCGCUGUGUAUUUGCUAUUAGCAACUUGUAUGGUGAAAAUUAAUUACGAGCUAUAUAAAGAACACCCCUUGUAGUUUAAUGGGAAAGGCAAGUGAAUUGCUGCCUAUGCAGUGUCGUGAAUGCAAUGUUGUUAAACGAGGCAUACAGUCCGUACAUUUGUCUAGAGAAGGGUGUUUCUGUUGAGCACAGCUCAUUAAUAAAAAUUCAACCUAGACUCAAAGCGCAUAUAGUAAUUUAUUUAGCCCUUCUUUAGCAGGUCGCGCGUGAUACAUUUCUGUGUAAUAUGGCCCCCGUAUUGCCUUAACGUUCUUAUAUGGAAAUGAAUUACUUUAAAUAAACUGGAUGUAAACAGCGCUUUUACUACUGUUGAAUCUUUCAUUAACUCUUAUGAACAGACUCAUUGAAAUUGAGUCUGCUUUUAUUUUGCUUAGCUGCAUACUGUUUCCAAAGGAUUUUUUUAAAAACAUUUACUAUCACAAAAACAAUCUUUAGGUGUCGUAUGGCGGUCAUAAAAUAAAUCUCCACAUACUUUGAUACAGUGAGUUCCACUUAAGCUGAUGCUAUUGGGGAAUGAGGGUUGUUACAUUUAAAUUAUUUUGAGUAAUGUUCAGUCCGCAUAAAUAUUAGCUGAAAUAGCUUUUAAACACGGCAGUUCCUCCCAACCCAGUGUCCCUUUCAAUAAAUCAUACGAUGUUUCAUUUGAUUAUCUUGAAUCUUUUAUGUAGUUAAUUGGCCUGAACAAGAUUAUUUUCAACACAGCAAAAAGGCAGUAAUUCUACAAAUGACCAAGCCAGAAAAAUAGUUCAUGCGAAUUUCUUUUAUUCUAAAUAUCGCCUGUCACCAUAUGAAGCUGGUUUGAUUAUCUUUAUAACUAGUACAGAUUUUGGGGAGUUUGGCCCUAAUUUUGACCCGUACAUCGUUCCCCUUGACCAUAACUAAGCUCUACUGACAAAGAUAAAAAGACCAGGUUUGACCAACUAAAAAUCAUUGGUUAUUACCAAAUGAAGAAAACAUAGGUGUUAACCAACCCCUGCUAAAGUCAAAGAAAUAUGUAUUUGGAGUUCAACUUAGAAUCAUAAGGAAAGCAAAUAUGAAGAAAUAAAAUAUCUUUGAGACAUACCACUAAUCAAAUAUUUUGAUAUGAAAUAGGAAAUUUCAUUUUUUUUCAUCUUGCUUUACAUUGUUAACUUUUAGUAUUUUGUACUAUCCAUGAUACAUUUCUGUACCAUUUUGUAACGUUUUAAUAACCGAUAAACAAAAAAUAAUCAUUUUAUACAUAUGUCCUGUAUAGAUACU
rnacentral:misc_RNA from 1 species